GAGGGUAUAGCUCAGUGGUAGAGCUUGUGCUUAGCACGCACGAGGUCCUGGGUUCAAUCCCCAGUACCUUUG
rnacentral:tRNA from 1 species